GGAUGGCUGUGCUAGCCCGUCUGCUUUCGGGUAGAUGAGCGCCGGUACGAGUCAUUCAUCUUUGUAGGGAACCUGGUCUGCCCUUUUCUGGGUGGGUCUGUGUGAACUACAUCAUUUACUUUGAAAAAAUUAGAGUGUUUAAAGCAGGCUUACGCUAUGAAUACAUUAGCAUGGAAUAAUAAUAUAGGACUUCGGUUCUAUUUUGUUGGUUUUCGGGACUGAAGUA
rnacentral:rRNA from 1 species